rnacentral:tRNA from 1 species
GCGAGCGUAGUUCAACGGUAGAAUAGUGCUCCUUUGAAGAUACUAACAGAUGCAGGUUCGACUCCUGCCGCUCGCG